rnacentral:lncRNA from 1 species
UUUUUUGGAGACACCUGAAGGCAGCCUUGAACCUGAGAUUCCUUCCUACCCCUGCCUCCCAAAUGCUGGGAUUAUAGGCAUUUGCUACCACAUCCUGAUCUAAUUUUUCUUUUAUUUAGUGUUAGAAAUCCUCAAACCAGUGUCAGAAGCUUUUGAAGGGGGUAAGUCAUGGAGACUGGACUCACAUACCUGGACAAGACAUAGAAUGUGGUUAAGCAAACCAAGAACUUCCAUCGUAGAUAACAAUUUGGUCACGAGUUUGUUCUAAUUGUGAUUAAGAGAAUGCUUACUGUCUACAUAAAUGAAAAGCAGGACCCAGAGUUAGUAGCAAGAGCUCUUCAAGACAACUGGAAAGGGAGCAGGACAAUAACUUACUAAAACAAAAAACAAAAAACUCUGGUCUCUGGCCCCGGUCUACCACCAACUCAAGCUCCACACAAACCAUGGGACAUUAACUAACACUGAUGCAGAACACUGGGUUGAUCCUUCAUUGAAGAACAGACAAAACACACUCCCCAAAUAUUAGU